CAAGCCAAGAACAUCAGCAAGACACCCCUGCUUGACCACCUUAUCCAGUCUGCAGAGGAGAACACUGAAGAGGAUGACGAGGUCCCAGGUUGGGAUAGUGACAUGGCCUCACUGCUACUGUUGGUCUACCUACUGCCACCACCUCCAAGUGGAAAGAAGGGAGCUGUAAAGAUCAGUACCCGAGAAGCUGUGGACCAUGUAGUCAAAUUUCAUAAGGAGCACUCUGGUCCAAACCAGCAGAGGCAGCCCUACAUCCUGGCAGUUGGGACGUCAAGAAAGCACAUCCACGAGUUCUACAUUGCAUUGGAUGGUCAUCUCAUUCCCUGCAAGGGCAAGUCUUCCCUGUCAGCCUUUGAUGAACUUUUCAAAGCACAUUAUGUUUUCGGCAUC